rnacentral:rRNA from 1 species
GACGAACCGAGCGAACGUUGUUCGGAAUCACUGGGCUUAAAGGGCGCGUAGGCGGGUGCUCAAUUCCGGGGUGAAAUCCUCCAGCUCAACUGGAGAACUGCCUCGGAUACUGGGUGCCUCGAGUGUGGUAGGGGUGUGCGGAACUAUCGGUGGAGCGGUGAAAUGCGUUGAUAUCGAUAGGAACUCCGGUGGCGAAGGCGGCACACUGGACCACAACUGACGCUGAGGCGCGAAAGCCAGGGGAGCAAACGGG